CUUUUAGUGCACGCUGUGAGUAAUAAUAAUGCGAUCUCCCAGGGCAUGAUAUAGUACACCUCAGAAAUCGCCGACACAGAGGUUUUCCCUACUCGACCACUUGCCCUGCUGAGCGUUAGCGCAGGGAGGGAAGACGCAGCAAAGAGCAUGACGGCGAUUUCGGAGCGGAGGGCAAGAUUCUGCAGGGAUGGGAUUCACGCCAGCCUGCUAUAGCUGUUCUCGGCAAGCAGACGAGAAUGCCACCGAGUGGCUAUUCUCAUUCGUUGUUCUAAACUGCAGCUGCAGGUUUUUCUUUUCUUUUCUUCUUCUUGCAUACUGGCCAGGAAGGGCGCCAGCUGCCACCCUCCCAGUGGUGACGUUACGUGACUUUCUUCUUCUUCUCGUUCUAUACUUUUUUUUUUCCCUGCAGGUGCAGAGGGCAGGCGCUUGGCGCUCACGCGCGCUCGAAAGAGUGCAGCGCCGAAUACGACAGCGUCCACACCUCGAUUGGAGCACAGUUGCGCAUAACUCUUUCGGCGCCGCUCGCACCGCUAUUCGCUGAGCGCUAUCACGUGGUGCAAAAUGACGUCAAAUGUUCAACUGCGCUGCUGCGAAGCCAACUUUACGGGCGCGGCGCCGACUCGCUUCCGGAUCGUCGAGCGUGCGUUGCACCAAUCGGCUCCGGGUUGCAGCAUGACAGGGUGCAGCGCACCAAACUGCCCAAACCAUACGGAAGGUGAAAAGGAUUUUUACGUGGUGCCGUGCGGACGGACGAGACCGGCCAUCUCUGAAAGGGACCAGGAUAUGCGAGGUGCGCCCACUUGUUUACAGAGGGCAGCGACAAAUGGUCACCCAGCCUGCUUGAGUUACUCAGUCCCAACAUAUCCACACUGAAGUCACCGACAACGACCUGAGGGGUAGUGCCAUUGCAACUAACCCACGCAAAAAGGACCUGCUGUUCAUAGUGACGUUCCUUGCAAACCCCUCUGUGGUGAAAAUACAUCAUCAUAGACCAUCACUGUGGUGUAUUCUAAAAGUAAAAGAAAAACAACAAAACGGCAAUAAACACAAGUCUUACAAGACAAAAGGUUUUGCUCCAGCCAAAAUAGCAAACGUACCAGCAUGAACUUCACCAAGAACUGUGGUGCACCUCUCUAUUCCGGGAGUUAUCAAAAAGCUUGUGCACCAGAGGAAAAAAACAAGCGUCAUUGAACAGAUUUCUUGCCAGAACUCAGCUUGCAGCUGAAAGACCAAAGAAGAAGGACACCCCUGAGUGAGAUCCUCAUGAUGUACUUACUGAGUGACUCGCCCUUGAACCAAUAACCAGCUGCUGCCCACCCACCUGCCUGUUUCUCCCACCAAGGAAGUGUGAGAGUGUUUGCAUCCUUCAUAAGUACUGAACAGUACACUUGUUUUGAUUUAUAUUUGUGUUUGAAUAAAUUUUGCUUGAAGCCUUA